UACGGAGGGGGCGAGCGUUAUUCGGAAUUAUUGGGCGUAAAGGGCGCGUAGGCGGCCCGGUAAGUCAAAGGUGAAAUCCCUCGGCUCAACUGAGGAACUGCCUUUGAAACUGUCGGGCUUGAGGCCGGGAGGGGGUAGCGGAAUUCCCAGUGUAGCGGUGAAAUGCGUAGAUAUCAGGAGGAACACCGGUGGCGAAGGCGGUUCUCUGGGCAUGAUCUGACGCUGAGGAGCGAAAGUGUGGGGAGCGAACAGG
rnacentral:rRNA from 1 species